rnacentral:rRNA from 1 species
AAUCAACGCUGACGGCGUGCCUCAGACAUGCAAGUCGCACGGCUCUUCUGCAAGGGAGGGUAGUGGCGGACGGGUGAGGAACACGUACCUAACCUGCCGAUGAGCGGGGGAUACCCCGGGGAAACCCAGGACAAUACCGCAUGUGGUCUUCUCGUUGCGGCGGGAAGAGUAAACCCCACGUCGCAAGAGGCGGGGGCUCAUCGAGGGGGUGCGGCCGAUUAGCUGGUUGGUGGGGUAACGGCCACCAAGGCGACGAUCGGUAGCUGGUCUGAGAGGACGGCCAGCCACACGGGGACUGAGACACGGCCCCGACUCCUACGGGAGGCAGCAGCGAGGAAUCUUGGUCAAUGGGCGCAAGCCUGAACCAGCGACGCCGCGUGGGGAUGAC